rnacentral:rRNA from 1 species
GGGGAAGCUGGCACGCAGCACAGGCGCACCCAGAAACCCUUUGUGAACUUAUACCUUACUGUUGCCUCGGCGCAUGCUGGCCCCCCCGGGGGCCCCUCGGAGACGAGGAGCAGGCACGCCGGCGGCCAAGUUAACUCUUGUUUUUACACUGAAACUCUGAGAAAAAACACAAAUGAAUCAAAACUUUCAACAACGGAUCUCUUGGUUCUGGCAUCGAUGAAGAACGCAGCGAAAUGCGAUAAGUAAUGUGAAUUGCAGAAUUCAGUGAAUCAUCGAAUCUUUGAACGCACAUUGCGCCCUCUGGUAUUCCGGAGGGCAUGCCUGUUCGAGCGUCAUUUCAACCCUCAAGCAUUGCUUGGUGUUGGGGCACUGCUUUUACCCAAAAGCAGGCCCUGAAAUCUAGUGGCGAGCUCGCCAGGACCCCGAGCGCAGUAGUUAAACCCUCGCUCUGGAAGGCCCUGGCGGUGCCCUGCCGUUAAACCCCCAACUUUUGAAAAUUUGACCUCGGAUCAGGUAGGAAUACCCGCUGAACUUAAGCAUAUCAUAGGCCGGAGGAA